rnacentral:rRNA from 1 species
UACGGAGGGUGCAAGCGUUAUCCGGAUUCACUGGGUUUAAAGGGAGCGCAGGCGGAUUGGUAAGUCAGUGGUGAAAGGCUUGAGCUUAAUUCGGGAACUGCCAUUGAUACUAUCAGUCUUGAAUAUUGUUGAGGUUUGCGGAAUGGGUCAUGUAGCGGUGAAAUGCAUAGAUAUGACUUAGAACACCAAUUGCGAAGGCAGCUUGCUAAACAAAUAUUGACGCUGAGGCACGAAAGCGUGGGGAGCGAACAGG